rnacentral:rRNA from 1 species
UACAGAGGGUGCAAGCGUUGUUCGGAAUUAUUGGGCGUAAAGCGCGUGUAGGCGGCUUGGCAAGUCGGGUGUGAAAUCCCUCAGCUUAACUGAGGAAGUGCGCCCGAAACUGCCGAGCUUGAGUACCGGAGAGGGUGGCGGAAUUCCCCAAGUAGAGGUGAAAUUCGUAGAUAUGGGGGAGGAACACCGGUGGCGAAGGCGGCCACCUGGACGGAUACUGACGCUGAGACGCGAAAGCGUGGGGAGCAAACAGG